rnacentral:rRNA from 1 species
UACGGGUGGUGCUAGUGUUACUCCUCAUGACUGGGCGUUAAGGGUGCGUAGAUUGUAUAUUAAGUUCUUAAUAAAUCGCAAUAUUUAUUGUUUUUAAGACAUACUAAUAUACUAGAAUUGUAAUUGAGAUUAUGGAACUUCAAAGGCAAGGGUUGAAAUCUGUGUGAGACUUGAGGGAACGCGAAUGGUUAAUGCGUUAAUCUAAUUACAAUUGACAUUGAGGCACUAAGGCAUGGGUAUCGAUCAGG